rnacentral:misc_RNA from 1 species
GCUGAAAUAUUUGUCUUCAUGAUUGGGUUUUGGCACAUUAUCUCUUUGAUGUGCUUGUGGCUUGUUGUAAUUACUGAAUUAUUUUCGUUGGCCUUUUGAACUAAUGGGCAUAUCUGAGUAGUUUACUGCACUUAUGAGCACUUUUGAGCAAUUUGAAAAGAAUGUUAUCAUUACUUUCUAGCGGAGCCAUGAGCUCAUAUGAUAUAUUUGUUUCUUGCUGUUUAAAAUUUUAAAAGGGCCACUAUUGGAGGUUGGCCUUGCCUGAGUGGGUAAUACAAGUGAUGUGGAUCUGGGAUGGAGCUUCAAAUUGCGUGAGCGAUUAUUGUCAAUAUCUUUAUUGCCUUUUUCAUUUCAGAACCCAAACCCGCGACAAUAAAUGUGGCUUGCAAAUGCCCUGGUCACUUUUGUGGCAUUUUCUCUUUUAUUGCAUGAGUAAUGAUCAGUAUUUGAUGUCCUAAUCUUGCAUAAUGCUUUGUUGUCAUUUGCAAAUGACAACA